ensembl:lncRNA
AUGCCGGGAAAAAUGUUGCAUUUGUUCCUCCUGUCGUCUUUUAAGGUACAAGCUUUCCUAAUAGCUCUCUUUCAAAUCGUAAUGAAGUUCCAUUUUCAUAAUUUGCAGGGAAUGAGUCAAGGCAGAGGUCCUUCAAGCAGAGGUAUAAGCCAGAGAGCAGGGGCUCAAAUGGAAGGUAGACCUGUAGGUGGUGGGAUGGAUCUAAGACGUGGUCCUGCAAGAGCAUAUAGGACCAGCCAGGGAAAAAGGAAACUAAAAGCAGUAAUGCAUUUAAGUCGCGUAGCAGUAAGCGCUCACAAGCCAGUAGGAAGAGCUGAAUCUGCUCGUUCUCGAUGGAAGAAAGCGAAGAUAUUCCCAAUGAUYCUGCAGAAAGUAAAAGGCAGUAGGAAGGAUUCCAGUUAUGCCAAGCUCAUGUCAGCUCGCCAAGUGGAUGGUGAAGAAAGCGUGAUUAUCAAGGGAAAUUACUUCCAGAAAUCAACAGAUGAUAGACCUUCCAUGAGAAAACUAAAUCAUGUGUUGAAAAGCGUUAGUGUUUCCAAAAAAAUGCAGGAGUCUACUGGCAAGGAAUCAGUCCAUGCAAGAGGAAAAGGAGAGGAAGAAUAUGAAGGAGAUGAAACAAAAUCAGGUGUUUCAAUAAAUAUCACAGCAGAAAGUGAACAUGAGGAGAGUGAUUAUGAGAAGAAGAAAAAGAAGAGAAGAAAAUACACCUCAGAUGAUGAAUCAUCAGUGAAGAGCAGCAGCUCUGCCUCAGAGUCAGAAGAUAAAGACUAUUUGAAAGUAACACUGGACCAAGAUGAAGCYACUGAAAGUACUGUGGACUCUGAUGAAGAAGAUGGGCACGAUUUGGGGGAUUCUGAAGAUGACGAAUCUGGAUCCAGCUCUAGUAGUGACUCUGAGGAGGACUCAUCUGAAGAGGAAGAUGAUGAGGAGGACUCUGAAAGUGAUGAAGAUGACAGCCAAUCAAAGAGCUCCUCAACGCAAAGUUCGUUCAGCAGGUCAGGGCCUAGUGAGUCUAGCAGCAGCAGAAGUACUGAAAGGUCAAGUGUAAAAAGUAGGGGAGGUGGUUCUCGUGGAAGAGCGAGGCGCUCCAGCCAGAAGUCAGCAGCAAGUUCCAAUGCAUCCGGGAGCGAGAGGGACACCAGCCACAGGAAAUCUUCAGGAUCCAGCUAUAAGAACAAAACAUCCUCGGCCAGCCUUGAAAUAGAAGACACAAUAGAAGAGGUGUCGGAAGAAGAUGAGCAAGCAGACGCGGAGCAAGUCGAYGCAAGCCCCGAUGAGACAGCAGGUAACGUAGAUGAUAAGGCCACUCCUGAAACAUCUUCUGCCAAUGCAAAAACUGCUACUGCUAAAGAAAAGAAGAAAGGAAAAUCGGGUGUUAAUGGUGGUGGUCGCGURGAUGAAAGCACGGAAGAGGUUGCUACAGGUGCUAGCGACGGGGAGGAGACUCUCAGUAAGAAUGAGUCUAGUUGCCUAGAAAGCGAAAUCAGCGUCACUUCCAAGGGUACCAAAGGGACAAAAAGCACAACUAGUGCCACCUCCGGCAAAGCCGAUGCUUCCCGUCAUACUGAGAGUCAAAGUUCUGACACCAACGUGAAAAGAAGGAAAAYGAGAAAAAAGGCGUCCCUGGAAAACAGCGAGUCACGGUCAGAUGAGACCCUGGAUACUGCCGCUACGGAGUCGGAGACCACCGGUGAUUCCACAGCCUUUUAG